UAGGGAAUCUUCCGCAAUGGACGCAAGUCUGACGGAGCAACGCCGCGCGAGUGAAGAAGGAUUUCGGUUCGUAAAACUCUGUUGUUAGAGAAGAACAGCGCAUAGAGUAACUGUUAUGCGUGUGACGGUAUCUAACCAGAAAGCCACGGCUAACUACGUGCCAGCAGCCGCGGUAAUACGUAGGUGGCAAGCGUUGUCCGGAUUUAUUGGGCGUAAAGCGAGCGCAGGCGGUCAAUUAAGUCUGAUGUGAAAGCCCCCGGCUCAACCGGGGAGGGUCAUUGGAAACUGGUUGACUUGAGUGCAGAAGAGGAGAGUGGAAUUCCAUGUGUAGCGGUGAAAUGCAUAGAUAUAUGGAGGAACACCAGUGGCGAAGGCGACUCUCUGGUCUGUAACUGACGCUGAGGCUCGAAAGCGUGGGUAGCAAACAGG
rnacentral:rRNA from 1 species